ensembl:lncRNA
GUGGUGGAUGCUCGAUCCUCAGUCUAACGUCUCUGGAGUAUGGAAGGAAAGGUGGUGGAGGCUCGAUCCUCAGUCUAACGUCUCUGGGAAGGAAAGGUGGUGGACGCUCGAUCCUCAGUCUAACAUCUCUGGAGUAUGGAAGGAAAGGUGGUGGAGGCUCGAUCCUCAGUCUAACAUCUCUGGAGUAUGGAAGGAAAGGUGGUGGAGGCUCAAUCCUCAGUCUAACAUCUCUGGAGUAUGGAAGGAAAGGUG